rnacentral:rRNA from 1 species
GUGCCAGCAGCCGCGGUAAUACGUAGGGUCCAAGCGUUGUCCGGAUUUAUUGGGCGUAAAGAGCUCGUAGGCGGCUCGGUAAGUCGGAUGUGAAAACUCGGGGCUCAACCCCGAGACGCCAUCCGAUACUGCUGUGGCUUGAGUCUGGUAGGGGAGAACGGAAUUCCUGGUGUAGCGGUGAAAUGCGCAGAUAUCAGGAGGAACACCGGUGGCGAAGGCGGUUCUCUGGGCCAGUACUGACGCUGAGGAGCGAAAGCGUGGGUAGCAAACAGGAUUAGAUACCCUCGUAGUCC